UACGAAGGGGGCUAGCGUUGCUCGGAAUUACUGGGCGUAAAGGCGCGUAGGCGGCCUUGUGAGUCGAGUGUGAAAGCCCUCGGCUCAACCGAGGAAGUGCGUUCGAAACUGCAGAGCUUGAGUGCCGGAGAGGGUGGCGGAAUUCCCCAAGUAGAGGUGAAAUUCGUAGAUAUGGGGAGGAACACCGGUGGCGAAGGCGGCCACCUGGACGGUCACUGACGCUGAGACGCGAAAGCGUGGGUAGCAAACAGG
rnacentral:rRNA from 1 species